GGGCAGGGUAUCGACCCGUAACCCGGUUAGAUAGCCAUGGG
rnacentral:rRNA from 1 species